GGGAGAAUGUUUUACUGUUUGCAUGCCCAAGUGUCAAAGCUGUUGAGUGGUUAAUGAAAUGCAGUGUCAGCAGCAUCUUUAGGAAUAGGAAGUUCAGAAACAAUAGUGACUCUGUUGAUGUGUGUUCUCCUGUUCUCUUCAGCUAAAAAAUGCCUCAGCUGAAUGAUAGCUUUGGGGGAAUGAGAUGGUGCUUGGAUGGACAAAAGAAGCGAACAUAUACAGAUCUAAUGAACGCGCUGAAUUGGUUUCUGUUCAGCAUUUCUCACUGGACUACCAGAGAAAGGAAAUUAAAUCAACUCACGACAGCUAUCUUGCACAUCUCACCUGGGAAGGUAUGCAUAAGGUAGGACAGGCACUGCUUAACA
rnacentral:lncRNA from 1 species